GACGAACGCUGGCGGCGUGCUUAACACAUGCAAGUCGAGCGGUAAGGCCCUUUCGGGGGUACACGAGCGGCGAACGGGUGAGUAACACGUGGGUGACCUGCCCUCAGCUCUGGGAUAAGCCUGGGAAACCGGGUCUAAUACCGGAUAUGACUCCAUGACGCAUGUUGUGGGGUGGAAAGCCUUGUGCGGCUGAGGAUGGGCCCGCGGCCCAUCAGCUUGUUGGUGGGGUGANGGCCUACCAAGGCGACGACGGGUAGCCGGCCUGAGAGGGCGACCGGCCACACUGGGACUGAGACACGGCCCAGACUCCUACGGGAGGCAGCAGUGGGGAAUCUUGCGCAAUGGGCGAAAGCCUGACGCAGCGACGCCGCGUGAGGGAUGAC
rnacentral:rRNA from 1 species